GGUGGAGGAGGGACGCGCUGGAAACGCGAUCCGGGCGCUGAGCAAGUUCGAGAAAAUUUUGGAAUUUUGCCACGGAGGAGAAAAACGAGGAGAUCCCGAUGAUUUUAAAUUCCUUUUUAUUGAGAUUCUGGAAGUGGCGAUGAAAAUUCCCGGGAAAUAACUUUGGCACGGGGGAGAGGAGCAGGAAAAGGAGGAGAAGAGGAGGAGGAGGAGGAAAAAACCUCGGCCAAGUUCAAUAAAAUUUUGGAAUUUUGCCACGGAGGAGUAGAAAGAGGAGGAGGAGCAGGAGGAGGAGGAGGAGAUCCCGAUGAUUUUAAAUUCCUUUUUAUUGAGAUUCUGGAAGUGGCGAUGAAAAUUCCUGGGAAAUAACUUUGGCACGGAGGAGGAGGAAGAGGAGGAGGAGGAGGAGGAGGAGGAGAAAACCUCGGCCAGGUUCAAUAAAAUUUUGGAAUUUUGCCACGAAGGAGAGGAGCAGAAAGAGGAGAAGAGGAGGAGGAAAAACCUCGGCCAAGCUCAAUAAAAUUUUGGAAUUUUGCCACGAAGGAGAGGAGCAGAAGAAAGAGGAGAAGAGGAGGAGGAGGAGGAGGAGGAGGAGAAAACCUCGGCCAAGUUCAAUAAAGUUUUGGAGUUUUGCCACGGAG
rnacentral:lncRNA from 1 species